AUUACGAAGGGAGUUCAACCUACUCAAAGAUAACUCAGAGUUAUCAGCCAAACUCAGGAUUGACAAGCUCUGACCGCCUACACUGGAGUUAAACGAUUCCCUGCCUGGACUUGACUCUGUCUCCGCUACACUCCUGCAGCACACGAACUCUGGAUCCUCUGCGUGACUGGAUUCCCUCCCCCGACCAGUGCUGGAAUUCAACUCCUCCCAAGGACAGCGAGCUCUGUUUGUCCCUCUCAGCCUGAACCCAGUAACUUGGGACCCCCCACUUGGACACCUUUCACCAGACACCGUAUUCUGCCUUCCCCCCUUGCACAUUUAAGUAUCAACUCAAUAAACCACGUUACAGCCGUUCGCAUUUA